CCUGAGAUUAGCUCAGCUGGUUAGAACGUGAUGCUAAUAAUGACAAUGUUUGUGGGUUCAAUCCCCACACUAAAGA